UACGGGGGGAGCAAGCGUUGUUCGGAUUUACUGGGCGUAAAGGGCGCGUAGGCGGUCAGCACAAGUCAGUUGUGAAAUCUCCGGGCUUAACUCGGAAAGGUCAACUGAUACUGUGCGACUAGAGUGCGGAAGGGGCAACUGGAAUUCUUGGUGUAGCGGUGAAAUGCGUAGAUAUCAAGAGGAACACCUGCGGCGAAGGCGGGUAGCUGGGCCGACACUGACGCUGAUGCGCGAAAGCCAGGGGAGCGAACGGG
rnacentral:rRNA from 1 species